AAGCUGAAAUUAGUCAUGUUCCAGUAGAUAUUUUUCUUUUUGCACUUAACAAACAAAUUUCUUUUUAACUUUCACAAAAACGGCAUUUAUUUCUGACAUGGUUGACAUAAUGUAUCAUUGGUUCGGUGUAGCUGACAAGAAGGCAGUGUUCCCUCUAAAGUGCGCGCAUCCCCAAUUGCACACUGUUCUCACCCUCUCAGCAGACAGCAAGUGUAUACAGUGCAUUCCAAAAAACAAAACAAAAAAUUAUUCAAACUUGGGCUGUGCAUGUAUAACAGAAAAUGUUGAAAGUGUGUGAAUAUUUCAGACUGAAAUGAGCUCCGGUGACAUGUAAUGCUCGAAGACCUUCUCUUGGCUAAUUUGAGCUUGUCUCGGGUCCCGUACGUGGCUUCUUUACAGUGGUAUUAAUGUUGAUGUACCCCUACUGAUAUAUGUUAUAUAAGGGGUAAUAUUAUGUUGUAUAACAUAUUAUAUAACGUGACCCCUGCGGAAUGCUUGAUCCUGGUUAAUUAUAUGAUUGCGUUGUGGCUUGUGUAUUUCCAUGGUGACAAGCGCAGUAUAUGCUAACCAUUUAGGCCUGUAUCACUUAUGGCUCAGCAUUUAUAAAAAAAAUAAAAAUACACAGGUAAAAUUGCUCAAUCAAGUUGAAAACAAACCAACAAAAAUAUUAGCGUUGUGUUUGUCAACACUCGAGUUGGUGAUGCCGAGUUGUUGAGUGUUCAUACUGUCCACUCAUCAUCUCACCAAUCCUCUCAUUGCCAACCCGGGAAAUGAACCCCGAUGCUUGAGUGAGAAUAUCCAUACCAUGCACACUUGAAGCAUAUUACCACAACAUAUUGAUGAAGACUCAAUGGCCAAAAGGUUGUCCACUACAGGUGAGUUCUUUUCCGCUGCCUCGUGACAGCAAUACAUCAGACGCAAAUUUGCGCACUUUGAUAGCCUAGUCCAGGGACGCAGCUCGUUGUUUCGAUGCCCGAGACAAACAUAGAGUCCCACCGUCUACCUUCUUUUGCUCAUUUUGGAUAAAACGUGCGUUAUGUAAUAUACGGCACUGAGUCCUGCUUUUAAAAUAUGCCACAAUGAUCUGACACCUUAAGUUAACUCAUUAUUUACCUCCAAAGACUUUGAAUAUUAAUGUUUAGCAUCAUCUAAUCCAGGGGUGUCAAAGUCAAAUGGACGGACGACCAGAUAAAAAUUUUUGCUGCAAGCCGAGGGCCGGACUGAUCGAACGUUCAUUGAAAAAUUACCACAUAUAGUUAAUUGAACCAAAGUUAAUUGACUGAAAACCUAGCAAAUACAUUCCAAUAUGAUUAGAUAAAUAAAGCAACAUUUUCUUAUGGCUCUGUCAGUAAACUUUAAUUUUCAACAGGCACAAAAAUCAAAUUUCCUUUGUAUAAAAAUACCCAAAA